AACGAACGCUGGCGGCGUGCCUAACACAUGCAAGUCGUGCGAGAAAGUUCCUUCGGGAGCGAGUAAAGCGGCGCACGGGUGAGUAACACGUAGGUAACCUGCCCCCCAGUCUGGAACAACUAGAGGAAACUCUAGCUAAUGCCGGAUGAGACCACGAUCCCUUCGGGGGUUGCGGCCAAAGAUGGCCUCUACUUGUAAGCUAUCGCUGAGGGAUGGGCCUGCGGGCCAUUAGCUUGUUGGUGAGGUAACGGCUCACCAAGGCUGUGAUGGCUAGCUGGUCUGAGAGGAUGACCAGCCACACUGGGACUGAGACACGGCCCAGACUCCUACGGGAGGCAGCAGUGGGAAUAUUGCGCAAUGGGCGAAAGCCUAGACGCAGCGAACGCCGCGU
rnacentral:rRNA from 1 species